rnacentral:rRNA from 1 species
GGUUAAGCGACUAAGCGUACACGGUGGAUGCCCUGGCAGUCAGAGGCGAUGAAGGGCGUGCUAAUCUGCGAUAAGCGCCGGUAAGGUGAUAUGAACCGUUAUAACCGGCGAUACCCGAAUGGGGAAACCCAGUGUGACUCGUCACACUAUCAUUAACUGAAUCCAUAGGUUAAUGAGGCGAACCGGGGGAACUGAAACAUCUAAGUACCCCGAGGAAAAGAAAUCAACCGAGAUUCCCCCAGUAGCGGCGAGCGAACGGGGAGGAGCCCAGAGCCUGAAUCAGCAUGUGUGUUAGUGGAAGCGUCUGGAAAGGCGCGCGAUACAGGGUGACAGCCCCGUACACAAAAGCGACAUGUGCU